rnacentral:rRNA from 1 species
CCUACGGGUGGCAGCAGUGAGGAAUAUUGGUCAAUGGACGAGAGUCUGAACCAGCCAAGUAGCGUGAAGGAUGACUGCCCUAUGGGUUGUAAACUUCUUUUAUAUGGGAAUAAAACGUUCCACGUGUGGGAUUUUGUAUGUACCAUAUGAAUAAGGAUCGGCUAACUCCGUGCCAGCAGCCGCGGUAAUACGGAGGAUCCGAGCGUUAUCCGGAUUUAUUGGGUUUAAAGGGAGAGUAGGUGGAUUGUUAAGUCAGUUGUGAAAGUUUGCGGCUUAACCGUAAAAUUGCAGUUGAAACUGGCAGUCUUGAGUACAGUAGAGGUGGGCGGAAGUCGUGGUGUAGCGGUGAAAUGCUUAGAUAUCACGAAGAACUCCGAUUGCGAAGGCAGUUCACUGGACUGCAACUGACACUGAGGCUCGAAAGUGUGGGUAUCAAACAGGAUUAGAUACCCUAGUAGUC